GGCAUUUUGCUUUUCAAAUUAAAGCACCUCAAAACUGCUCUCUAGUACUCAACCAAACGCAGACUGACUACACUCUCAAAAGGUAAACAGAAGUGUGACCAGCUGUGUAAAGAUACCACUUUCCUCUUUAGUACACUGAGACCAAACUGAGAAGCGGAAAAAGCAUCAUCAGAUUUGCCUAUUGUUCGUAACUGCAGAAGAUGUUACCAGAAUUACAAGAAAUUUUACGGAAAAAAGCAAAUGACGAGCUGGUCAAAGCAUCCAUUUUCUCCUCUUUUCCACUGAGCAUUUUGCUAAUCCCACUGGAAGCUUUGAUUGACAAGGACUUUUUAUGUCCGUGCGAUGCUGAGCAAAAUGCAGCCAUAACCAAUCUCAUCUUCGCUGCACCUUUCUUCUUUGCUUUCGGAUUAAUGUUUGUUUUGCAGCCAAUGAAAUGUCUAUAUCCGGAAUCUUAUAAUUAUUUUCCAAAUUUCUUAUUUUGCCUGUUUCCAUCGUUUGUGUGGAUCGUGCUUGUGCUUAUGGAUGGUGAUUAUGUCGCCUGUCAGAAAACAGACUGGAAUGGAGUGCAUGUGUAUGACGAUCAGUUACAAAUAAAAUGGUGUAAACCAACAGAACCAGUUCCGGGAAGAAAUGAAACCCAUCUUCAAGCUGAGACACUGAAGUUUAUUGCCAGUUCACAGAUGCAUGGUUUCAUUCUGCUCUUGGUCUUGAGCAUUGUCAUGAUCAUUUGUGUACUUCGUCUCUGCUGCUUCUUCGCCCCUCGUGAUCCUCAGGCCCAAUAAAGCAGUGACAGAAACCUGUGGAUGUGGAACAUAAGAAUAGCUGUCACUAGAUGAGAUUUUUACUCUGUGUUAAAGA